GAUGAACGCUAGCGGCAGGCUUAACACAUGCAAGUCGAGGGGCAGCAUAAUGAAGUAGCAAUACAUGGGUGGCGACCGGCGCACGGGUGCGUAACGCGUAUCCAACCUUCCCGUUACUCAGGGAUAGCCUUCCGAAAGGGAGAUUAAUACCUGAUGGUGUUUGAAUUCCGCAUGUUAUUCAAACUAAAGAUUUAUCGGUAACGGAUGGGGAUGCGUGACAUUAGAUAGUAGGCGGGGUAACGGCCCACCUAGUCUACGAUGUCUAGGGGUUCUGAGAGGAAGGUCCCCCACACUGGAACUGAGACACGGUCCAGACUCCUACGGGAGGCAGCAGUGAGGAAUAUUGGUCAAUGGGCGGGAGCCUGAACCAGCCAAGUAGCGUGAAGGAUGACUGCCCUACGGGUUGUAAACUUCUUUUGUUUGGGAAUAAAAGACGCUACGUGUAGCGUUCUGCAUGUACCUUACGAAUAAGCAUCGGCUAAUUCCGUG
rnacentral:rRNA from 1 species